rnacentral:rRNA from 1 species
GGAUAGCCAUUGGAAACGAUGAUUAAAACCUCAUAAUACUAAAUAGUCACAUGGCUGUUUGGUCAAAGAUUUAUCGGCAAAGGAUGGGCCUGCGUCUGAUUAGCUAGUUGGUGGGGUAACGGCCUACCAAGGCGACGAUCAGUAGCCGACCUGAGAGGGUGAUCGGCCACAUUGGAACUGAGACACGGUCCAAACUCCUACGGGAGGCAGCAGUGGGGAAUAUUGCACAAUGGGCGAAAGCCUGAUGCAGCAACGCCGCGUGAAGGAAGAAGGUCUUCGGAUCGUAAACUUCUGUCCUUGGGGAAGAUAAUGACGGUACCCUUGGAGGAAGCCCCGGCUAACUACGUGCCAGCAGCCGCGGUAAUACGUAGGGGGCAAGCGUUAUCCGGAAUUAUUGGGCGUAAAGAGUGCGUAGGUGGUUACUUAAGCGCGGGGUUUAAGGCAAUGGCUCAACCAUUGUUCGCCCUGCGAACUGGGUUACUUGAGUGCAGGAGAGGAAAGCGGAAUUCCUAGUGUAGCGGUGAAAUGCGUAGAUAUUAGGAGGAACACCAGUGGCGAAGGCGGCUUUCUGGACUGUUACUGACACUGAGGCACGAAAGUGUGGGGAGCAAACAGGAUUAGAUACCCUGGUAGUCCACACCGUAAACG